UACGGAGGGUGCAAGCGUUGUUCGGAUUUACUGGGCGUAAAGCGCGCGCAGGCGGUUUUGUAAGUCUGUCGUGAAAUCCCCCGGGCUCAACCUGGGAAUUGCGAUGGAGACUGCAAGGCUAGAAUCUGGCAGAGGGGGGUAGAAUUCCACGUGUGAGCAGUGAAAUGCGUAGAGAUGUGGAGGAACACCGAUGGCGAAGGCAGCCCCCUGGGUCAAGAUUGACGCUCAUGCACGAAAGCGUGGGGAGCAACAGG
rnacentral:rRNA from 1 species